UAGGGAAUCUUCCGCAAUGGACGCAAGUCUGACGGAGCAACGCCGCGUGAGUGAAGAAGGAUUUCGGUUCGUAAAACUCUGUUGUUAGAGAAGAACAGCGCAUAGAGUAACUGUUAUGCGUGUGACGGUAUCUAACCAGAAAGCCACGGCUAACUACGUGCCAGCAGCCGCGGUAAUACGUAGGUGGCAAGCGUUGUCCGGAUUUAUUGGGCGUAAAGCGAGCGCAGGCGGUCAAUUAAGUCUGAUGUGAAAGCCCCCGGCUCAACCGGGGAGGGUCAUUGGAAACUGGUUGACUUGAUUGCAGAAGAGGGGAGUGGAAUUCCAUGUGUGGCGGUGAAAUGCGUAGAUAUAUGGAGGAACACCAGUGGCGAAGGCGACUCUCUGGUCUGUAACUGACGCUGAGGCUCGAAAGCGUGGGUAGCAAACAGG
rnacentral:rRNA from 1 species